rfam:Salmo salar isolate Sally breed double haploid chromosome ssa15, whole genome shotgun sequence.
UGUUAUGCCUACUGUUAGUCACUUUGGAUAAAAGUGUCUGCUAAAUGGCAUACA